rnacentral:rRNA from 1 species
GACGAACGCUGGCGGCGUGCCUAAUACAUGCAAGUCGAACGAAGCUGUUUUAACUGGUGCUUGCACCGACUUAAACAACUGAGUGGCGAACGGGUGAGUAACACGUGGGUAACCUGCCCCAAAGCGGGGGAUAACAUUUGGAAACAGAUGCUAAUACCGCAUAACCACAGAAACCACAUGGUUUCUGUGUCAAAGAUGGUUUCGGCUAUCACCUUGGGAUGGACCCGCGGCGUAUUAGCUAGUUGGUAAGGUAAUGGCUUACCAAGGCAAUGAUACGUAGCCGAACUGAGAGGUUGAUCGGCCACAUUGGGACUGAGACACGGCCCAAACUCCUACGGGAGGCAGCAGUAGGGAAUCUUCCACAAUGGACGAAAGGCUGAUGGAGCAACGCCGCGUGAGUGAAGAAGGUUUUCGGAUCGUAAAACUCUGUUGUCAGAGAAGAACGUGUGCGAGAGUAACUGCUCGUGCAGUGACGGUAUCUGGCCAGAAAGCCACGGCUAACUACGUGCCAGCCGCCGCGGUAA